rnacentral:sRNA from 1 species
GGACAAAGUAACAAUAUUUGUGAAUGAAUAAAAAUAAAUGUAAAUAUGAUACAACUAUAUACAGGUUGUUUUCCUUUCAACUAAAAUGAGAAAAACAAAUUGAAAUUCUCUCUAUUCAAUAUAGCUUCUCCUAAAAUCUUUGGAUUCGUACAAAUAAUAUAUACAAUGUGCCCUGCAUUCACAAGACAUAAUAUAACAAAAAAUGGUAGUUGGUAGCACAUUUUCAAAAACUGAAUUGAGUGACCGAGGGUCAGUGAAGUGUUCAAUAAUAUAAAAUUUUAGUCACUAACCCCAGCUAGAAAGAGGACACAACAGAAUAAUAGCAUAUAGAAUUAGGUUCAAAGCAAAGCCAAGCCAAGCCAUCCAACUGGUUCUAAAGCAAAUAGAUUACUUGGUAAACAUUGAGCAACAGAAUGAAAAUGUCCUCCAACAUUGGGGGAUAUUCCUAUCUGUUUUUGAUCUUAUGGUAAUAACAGUACCUCAUCUCUACAAUGCCCCAAUAAAACUGGACCCCUUCAACGCAGCAUUUAACCAGUAAGUACCAAUACCAUGAAAAAGCAGUCUGCUAGAAUUUCUGUAUGACAACUGAAUUUGCCAGUCCUGCCUGUUCUAUGGUCUGAGUUUCAUCAGUUAGAACCCUUGAGGGGAAACCCAUUAUCUGAAGUUGAUAAUUCUGCCGACUACCAGGUCUAGAUGCAUCAAUGAAGGCACGGAUGUCGCUGAUGGUGUGAUGAUGAUUAAAUUGUGAUAUCAAGCGGGUUCCAUCAGCCAACCUGAUUUGUAUUGAGGUCGACGGCAGUGAUUGAUCAACAACCAGAUUUGCA